rnacentral:rRNA from 1 species
CCUACGGGAGGCAGCAGUGGGGAAUAUUGCGCAAUGGGCGAAAGCCUGACGCAGCGACGCCGCGUGAGGGAUGAAGGUCCUCGGAUCGGUAACCUCUUUCUGCAGGGAAGUACGGUCACUGUGCUAAUCAGCAGUGAAUUGAUGGUACCUGCAAAGGAAGCAUCGGCUAACUCCGUGCCCGCAGCCGCGGUAAUACGGAGGGUGCGUGCGUUAAUCGGAAUUAUUGGGCGUAAACCGAUCGUAGGCGGGAUGUCAAGGCAAGUGUGAAAUCCCCGGGCUCAACGUUGGAAGUGCAGUUGAAACUGGCAAACUGGAGUGUGGGAGAGGAGAGUGGAAUUCGAGGUGUAGGAGUGAAAUGCGUAGAUAUCUGGAGGAACAUCAGUGGCGAAGGCGGCUAUCUGGCACAUAACUGACGCUGAGGAGCGAAAGCGUGGGUAGCAAACAGGAUUAGAUACCCUAGUAGUC